rnacentral:sRNA from 1 species
UAAACACAGGAGGCCAGACUCUGAUGGC